CCAAACUAUACUCGGAGGCCCCUGACGGAGGAUGGGAAUGGGUGAUCUCUGUGGCAUUUUUUGUGGUGGAGACUUUCACAUAUGGUGUCAUCAAGUCCUUUGGGAUCUUCCUCCAGAGUAUGAAGGAGAAGUUUGCCGAGUCCAACAGUCGGGUCUCGUGGGUCAUUUCCAUCUGUCUGUUUAUCAUGACCUUCAAUGGUCCUCUUUCUUCAGUGAUGACUAACCGUUUUGGCUUCCAGUUUGUGGUUAUGAUUGGAGGAUUGCUUAUAUCCACGGGCACCAUUGCAACCAGCUUUACUAGUUCACUCAAUCAGAUAUACAUUACCUAUGGAUUGGUUACAGGUCUGGGCUAC